UACGUAGGGGGCAAGCGUUGUCCGGAAUCAUUGGGCGUAAAGGGUGCGUAGGCGGCGCGGUAAGUCGGGUGUGAAAUCUCGGGGCUUAACUCCGAAACUGCAUUCGAUACUACCGUGCUUGAGGACUGGAGAGGAGACUGGAAUUUACGGUGUAGCGGUGAAAUGCGUAGAUAUCGUAAGGAAGACCAGUGGCGAAGGCGGGGUCUCUGGACAGUUCCUGACGCUGAGGCACG
rnacentral:rRNA from 1 species